UACCCCCUCAAGCACUGCUUGUUGUUGGGCGUUUGUCCCACCUUUUGGUAUGGACUCGCCUUGAAUAUAUUGGCAGCCAUCUCCCUGGCUUCGAGCGCAGCACCUUUGCGUCCGGUACUUGGGGGUUGUGGCUCUCCAAAAGCACUCCUUUC
rnacentral:misc_RNA from 1 species